UUGCCUUAAACUAAUGAGUAAGGAAAACAAAGCGUUGCGGUGAGAGCCGCUCGCGGUGCGGGACUCAAACCCUGCACGGCAAUUUUUGCGAGGGGAAGAGGCUCGCGCGGGUAUUGACACUGCUUACUUUUGCAGGACUUGCCUGUGUGGGCCUCCCU
rnacentral:snRNA from 19 species